UCCUCGGAGAAGGGAGAUGUAUUUGGCCUGGCAAACUGGGGGCGCGCUGUCAGGAAGGUAGGACAGGGCUUGGAGAAAGACAGUAAGGUCUAGAAGGAACAGACCUUGACUGCUGACUAGAGGGUCUCUGAGCCAGAACCCAAAGUAGAGACUGAGCCCAGGUUUCCCUGCAAGCAACUGGGGAAGUGGCUCUACAAGGCAGGGAAUGGGAAGACUGCCCAGGAGUGCUGAGUUCAGCAGUGUUUUCGCCACAGUAUGAACACAGCAUCAUCCCAGCUCUUCUCCCAAGCUGAUGUCCUGGCAUAUGCAAAGGAUGUCUUCACUGUGUCCCUUACAACUAGGGGAGGGAGGACAAUUAAAUUGCAGUUUACAAGGAGAAUUUCAUGCAGACCUCAAAAGCUUUGGUACCUACAAGUUCAGCUGCUUGUCCAGCCUCUUGAGUCUGCAGAACGGAGCAGGAAAUUGGCAUGCAUUCUGUCAUAAGACAUCAGGUCUUCCUGCUUAUGGCUGGGCUGAUUGUAUGGUCGGAACAGCCUUUCCCUUAAUAUCCCAGUGCUUCUGAUCCACACUUCAGUCAGGAAGUGCAAAUACAUGCCAACCUCGCCCCCCUGUCGUCCC